ensembl:lncRNA
AUUUAUACUUGGUGUAUAAUAUAAAUCAUUGGUUAGAACACUAUUGAUCUGCCACGGAGAUCUUCAAAUAUGAUAUAUCCCGCAGAAAGUAUGUUUCCUCCCGCUACAGCAAAUUAUUUGAUCAUUAACCAAUUUGUAUCAAAACGAGGCUACAAAGUAGCCCUCUACCCAUCGAACUCACCGCGUCCCCCUCGCUAUGGAAACGGCCCGGGAGCGUCCGGUUACCCCGGCAACCUCUGCUGAGAUUUGCCUCGCCAGUUCGCACUCUGUUGUCUCUGCAAGUUCUUUAAUAAGUUUUUAAGGUGACUUAGCAAAAGUUAGGAAAUCGUUAUUCGUCUUAGAAUGCUUAGAUUCAGUUAAAUAAAAAAAUAGUAUGCCACUUAGUUUAUGCGUUACAGCGACUUACUUUGGUUUUAAAGCAAUGCUUUUUCAAAUUGUUUUUCGUUUUUUUCUUUGACUAGGUUUCCUUUGCAGGUGUGUUUUGUGGAUUGUAGCUAAUCCUCUCUUUUCGGGCACAGUGUAGAAGUUCCUAUCAGUUUGUUUCAAUGAGUUCUCAAGGAGACCAACGCGAACCAACAUCACCUGGACUGGAAGCUGUGAUUCAGAAGCUGGAGGAGUCUCUACUCUCUAGUCUCCCUGACAGAAGCAGCAGGGUAGAGGAGAGUAACCUGUCUCUGACACCAAGAGGAGAUGGACAGGAAUCUGCUGCGGCCAAACUCUCUGCCUCGCCCGUCUCAGGCUCCGCCUGCUCUACAGCAACACCUGUCUCCUCCCGCAUCAGACAGAUCCUCACCAGGAACCUGGCUGACCCUAACCCUGCAGAUGAUGACAUCAGUCUUCAGGAAGAGAACAGCGUACUGAAGGAGCAGCUCUCUCAGACCAGGAUGGACCGGGACCAGCUACUGGAAAAACAGACCCAGCUCACAGACAGGGUAGGAACCAGAGCAUCAUCACUGAACAGAUCGCGCUCACAAACAGGGUAGGCUACAAGUUCUGGUCCAGUCAGUUCUGCUCCAGUGAGUUCUUCUCCAGUCAGUUCUGCUCCAGUGAGUUCUGCUCCAGUCAGUUCUGAUCCAGUCAGUUCUGAUCCAGUCAGUUCUGCUCUAGUCAGUUCUGCUCCAGUCAGUUCUGCUCUAGUCAGUUCUGAUCCAGUCAGUUCUGCUCUAGUCAGUUCUGCUCCAGUCAGUUCUGCUCUAGUCAGUUCUGAUCCAGUCAGUUCUGCUCUAGUCAGUUCUGAUCCAGUCAGUUCUGCUCUAGUCAGUUCUGCUCCAGUCAGUUCUGCUCUAGUCAGUUCUGAUCCAGUCAGUUCUGCUCUAGUCAGUUCUGCUCCAGUCAGUUCUGCUCUAGUCAGUUCUGAUCCAGACAGUUCUGCUCCAGACAGUUCUGCUCCAGACAGUUCUGCUCUAGUCAGUUCUGCUCCAGUGAGUUCUGCUCCAGUGAGUUCUGCUCCAGUGAGUUCUGCUCCAGUCAGUUCUGCUCCAGUCAGUUCUGCUCCAGACACUUCUGGUGCAGACAUUUUCAAAUAGGACUAAUGAUGAUUCUGUCUGAACUACACAAUAGUGGAAAUAAGAUGGUGAACAACGGACAUUAUUCCAUGUGUUAUUUAGGAGUGUGUUGAUCUCCCCACAUCAUCUGUCUGUCUAGAACUAGAAUCACAGUCUUUCUCUGUCCUUUUAUAUCUAUGAGCUCACCUCAAAUACAUACCGACCAUACUUGUUGCGGUUUCGGUGGAGCGCCAGGCCUGAAUAACUUCAGUGCACUAGUGAGGACUGCAUGGCAUCCCAUUCACGAUUACUAACUACUCUACUGUUUUCAGGGAAGGGCUGUUUCUCUGUGUUUUAUUUCACCUUUAUUUCACCUUUAUUUAACCAGGUAGGCCAGUUGAGAAUAAGUUCUCAUUUACAACUGCGACCUGGCCAAGAUAAGGCAAAGCAGUGCGACAAAAACAACAACACAGAGUUACACAUAAACAAACGUACGGUCAAUAACACAAUAGAAACAUCUGUAUACAGUGUGUGCAAAUGAAGUAAGGCAAUAAAUAGGCCAAUAAAUUAAUUAAUUUGGGACACACUUUUUCAUUCAAGGGUUUUUCUUAUUUUUUUUAAAACUAUUUUCUACAUUGUAGAAUAAUAGUGAAGACAUCAGAACUUUGAAAUAACACAUAUGGGAUCAUGUAGUAACCCAAAAAGU